GUCUCGCAUAAAAGCUGUGGCAGGAUGGAGCUCCUCUGUGUGGAAGCAGACAUUUUGCCUUGGGGGUCACCUGAAUUGAAUCCAGUAGAACACCUUUGGGGUAUUUUAAAGAGAAUGGUAGAGCAACACAACCUCUCCAGCAAAGAGCAGCUGAAAAAAAUGUAUCUCUGAAGAAGGACAGAACAUCUCUCCAGAAAUUUGUACAACACUGGUUUCUUCCAUGUCAAGGAGGAUUGAGUCUGUCAUCAAAAAUAAAGGUCACACCUGGGUGUGUAUCAGGUGAUAACCAUGGUAACAGUGGAUCCCAUAGGCAUAUGAAGCAAAAUCAGAGAAGGAUUUUAAUGCAAGACAGGAGGCUUCAUAUUUUGCAUCAAAUCUUUACUGAAUCCAAACAGCAGCAAAGAAAACAUACAGAGAAAAAAGAAAUAACAUAGUAACAAGACUGCACCAAUCAGCACACAGCAGCCUAAUAAACCGUAAUGAACAA